UUUGCAAUUUUGGAAUAUUCUCAUAUACAUUAUGAGAGAUCUUGGGAAUGGGACCUAAGUCUAAACAUGAAAUUAAUUUUAUAUAUUCCUUAUA